rnacentral:rRNA from 1 species
UUUUAUGGUCAAGCUACUAAGGGCACACGGUGGAUGCCUUGGCGCAGGAGGGCGACGAAGGACGUGGUAAGCUGCGAUAAGCCUCGGUGAGCCGCAAGCAGGCGUUGACCCGGGGAUCUCCGAAUGGGGCAACCUGUCACGAGUAAUAUCGUGACUUCCGUUCCUGAAUAAAAUAGGGAGCGGUAAGCCAACGGGGGGAAGUGAACCAUCUCAGUACCCCCAGGAAAAGAAAGCAACCGCGAUUCCCCUAGUAGCGGCGAGCGAACGGGGAACAGCCUAAACCGGGCGUAUGUAGAAGCUCGUGAGCGUUGUACGUCCGGGGUUGUGGGGGCGGGCGUGGUUCCGUCACGACGGAACCGUGGAGUUACAAACCGGUGGGUUAACCGAAUGACCUGGAAAGGUCAGCGAUACGAGGUAAUAGCCCUGUAGGUAAAAAUUCUCCGGCUCCAAGCCUGCUUCCCAAGUACCACGGGACACGGGAAAUCCUGUGGGAAUCCGGGAGGACCAUCUUCCAAGGCUAAAUACCAACCUGCGACCGAUAGUGAACUAGUACCGUGAGGGAAAGGUGAAAAGAUCCCCUUUUAGGGGAGUGAAAUAGUACCUGAAACCGUGUGUCUACAAGCAGUGGAAGGGCUAUGGUCUUCUUCGGAAGAUCACGCCCGACCGCGUGCCUUUUGCAUAAUGAGCCGGCUAGUUAGUUUGUGCAGCGAGGCGAAGCGUUAAGCGAGCCGAAGCGAAAGCGAGUCUUAAAUGGGCGAUCAGUUGCACGGACUAAACGCGAAGCGGGAUGAUCUACCCUUGGCCAGGGCGAAGCAUAUGUAACAAUAUGUGGAGGCCCGAACCAGUGUUGGUUGAAAACAGCUUGGAUGAGCUGAGGGUAGGGGUGAAAGGCCAAUCAAAUUCCGUUAUAGCUCGUUCUCCCCGAAAUAGCUUUAGGGCUAGCCUCGUACGUUUGUUCACGGAGGUAGAGAACUGGAUGGACUAGGGGCCUUACCAGGUUACUGAAUCCAACCAAACUGCGAAUUCCGUGAACCCAUAGUGCGGGAGUCAGACUGUGGGGGAUAAGCUUCACAGUCAAAAGGGAAAGAACCCAGACCGCCAGCUAAGGUCCCUCAAUUCGACCUAAGUGGUAAAGGAUGUGGAAACACACAGACAACCAGGAGGUUGGCUUAGAAGCAGCCAUCCUUUAAAGAAAGCGUAACAGCUCACUGGUCAAGUGGUUCCGCGCCGACAAUUCACCGGGGCUCAAGGUCGAUACCGAAGCUGCGGAUCAUGAGGAUCUUCGGAUCCUUAGGGUGGUAGGGGAGCAUUCCAUGGGGAGCUGAAGCCAUACCGUAAGGAGUGGUGGACCGCAUGGAAGAGACCCUGCCGGCACAAGUAGCGAUAAGGGCGGCGAGAACCCGCCCCGCCGAAAGUCUAAGGUUUCCUGAGGAAGGUUAAUCCGCUCAGGGUUAGUCGGUCCCUAAGCCGAGGCCGAAAGGCGUAGGCGAUGGACAGUCAGGUCAAUAUUCCUGCACCACCUCGGGAGCGCUUUAAGCGAAGGGGUGACGCGGAAGGAUAGGCAUACGGGCGACUGGAAAUGCCCGGCCGCAAUCAUAGGAGGGUUCCCCAGGCAAAUCCGGGGAGCCAUUCAACUCUGAGGAAAGCGGGGAAGUGCGCCUUCGGGCAAACCAACUUGUCGAUUCCAUGCCGCCGAGAAAAACCUCUAGCUAGUUCCCGGGGUGACCGUACCGCAAACCGACACAGGUAGAUGGGGAGAAUAUCCCAAGGCGCUUGAGAGAACCCUCGUUAAGGAACUCGGCAAUCUAGCCCCGUAACUUCGGGAGAAGGGGUGCCUCGGAGAGUGACUUCAAUCAGAGGAAGCUUUCCGGGGCCGCAGUGAAAGGGCCCAUACGACUGUUUACUAAAAACACAGGUCCCUGCAAAGUCGAAAACGACGUAUAGGGACUGACGCCUGCCCAAUGCCGGAAGGUUAAAGCAAGGGGUCAUCCGUCGCAAGACGGAGAAGCUCUGAACUGAAGCCCCGGUGAAUGGCGGCCGUAACUAUAACGGUCCUAAGGUAGCGAAAUUCCUUGUCGGGUAAGUUCCGACCUGCACGAAUGGCGUAACGAGAUGGGCGCUGUCUCGACGAGGGGCUCAGCGAAUCUGUAGCACCGGUGAAGAUGCCGGUUACCCGCAACUAGACGGAAAGACCCCGUGCACCUUUACUAUAGCCUAGCAGUGAAUUUUGGUGCUGUAUGUGUAGGAUAGGUGGGAGGCUUUGAAGCGUGGGCGUCAGCCUGCGUGGAGCCAACGGUGAAAUACCACCCUUAUGGCUCUGAGAUUCUAACCCAGGACCGUGAUCCGGCCCGGGGACACUGUUAGGUGGGUAGUUUGACUGGGGCGGUCGCCUCCUAAAUUGUAACGGAGGCGCCCGAAGGUUCCCUCAGGCUGUUUGGAAACCAGCCGUAGAGUGCAAAGGCAUAAGGGAGCUUGACUGCGAGACCUACAAGUCGAGCAGGUGCGAAAGCAGGGCUUAGUGAUCCGGCGGUCCCGCAUGGAAGGGCCGUCGCUCAACGGAUAAAAGGUACGCCGGGGAUAACAGGCUUAUCCUCCCCAAGAGUUCACAUCGACGGGAGGGUUUGGCACCUCGAUGUCGGCUCAUCGCAUCCUGGAGCUGAAGCAGGUUCCAAGGGUUGGGCUGUUCGCCCAUUAAAGCGGUACGUGAGCUGGGUUUAGAACGUCGGGAUCUAUCCUUAGUACGAGAGGACCGGGAUGGACGGACCUCUAGUGUACCAGUUGUCCCGCCAGGGGCACCGCUGGGUAGCUAUGUUCGGAAAGGAUAAGCGCUGAAUGCAUCUAAGCGCGAAGCCCCCCUCAAGAUGAGGUAUCCCUUCCACCUUCGGGUGGACUAAAGACUCCUUGUAGACCACGAGGUUGAUAGGCCAGAGGUGUAAGUGGGGUAACUCACUCAGCUGACUGGUACUAAUCGGUCGUGAGGCUUGACCAUAAAA